rnacentral:rRNA from 1 species
UACGUAGGGCGCAAGCGUUGUCCGGAAUUAUUGGGCGUAAAGAGCUCGUAGGCGGCUUGUCACGUCGGAUGUGAAAGCCCGAGGCUUAACCUCGGGUCUGCAUUCGAUACGGGCUAGCUAGAGUGUGGUAGGGGAGAUCGGAAUUCCUGGUGUAGCGGUGAAAUGCGCAGAUAUCAGGAGGAACACCGGUGGCGAAGGCGGAUCUCUGGGCCAUUACUGACGCUGAGGAGCGAAAGCUAGGGGAGCGAACGGG